rnacentral:rRNA from 1 species
CCUACGGGUGGCAGCAGUGGGGAAUAUUGGUCAAUGGGCGCGAGCCUGAACCAGCCACGUAGCGUGAAGGAUGACUGCCCUCCGGGUGGUAACCUUCUUUUAUCAUGGCAUAAAGUGAGGCACGUGUGCCUUUUUGUAUGUACUUUAUGAAUAAGGAUCGACUAACUCCGUGCCAGCCGCCGCGGUAAUACGGAGGAUCCGAGCGUUAUCCGAAUUUAUUGGGUGUAAAGGGAGCGUAGAUGGGUUGUUAAGUCAGUGGUGAAAGGUUGCGGCUCAACCAGAAAAUUGCAAUUGAUACUGGCAGUCUUGAGUACAGUUGAGGUAGGCGGAAUUCGUGGUGUAGCGGUGAAAUGCUUAGAUAUCACGAAGAACUCCGAUUGCGAAGGCAGCUUACUAAACUGCCACUGACAUUGAUGCUCGAAAGUGUGGGUAUCAAACAGGAUUAGAUACCCGAGUAGUC